rnacentral:rRNA from 1 species
AUUGAACGCUGGCGGCAUGCCUUACACAUGCAAGUCGAACGGUAACGCGGGGCAACCUGGCGACGAGUGGCGAACGGGUGAGUAAUGCAUCGGAACGUGCCCAGUAGUGGGGGAUAGCCCGGCGAAAGCCGGAUUAAUACCGCAUACGACCUACGGGUGAAAGGGGGGGAUCGCAAGACCUCUCGCUAUUGGAGCGGCCGAUGUCAGAUUAGGUAGUUGGUGGGGUAAAGGCCUACCAAGCCGACGAUCUGUAGCUGGUCUGAGAGGACGACCAGCCACACUGGGACUGAGACACGGCCCAGACUCCUACGGGAGGCAGCAGUGGGGAAUUUUGGACAAUGGGCGCAAGCCUGAUCCAGCCAUGCCGCGUGCGGGAAGAAGGCCUUCGGGUUGUAAACCGCUUUUGUCAGGGAAGAAGUCUUCUGGGUUAAUACCUCGGGAGGAUGACGGUACCUGAAGAAUAAGCACCGGCUAACUACGUGCCAGCCGCCGCUGUAACAC